AGUGAACGCUGGCGGUAGGCCUAACACAUGCAAGUCGAACGGCAGCACAGUAAGAGCUUGCUCUUACGGGUGGCGAGUGGCGGACGGGUGAGGAAUACAUCGGAAUCUACUUUUUCGUGGGGGAUAACGUGGGGAAACUUACGCUAAUACCGCGUACGACCUACGGGUGAAAGUAGGGGAUCUUCGGACCUUGCGCGAUUGAAUGAGCCGAUGUCGGAUUAGCUAGUUGGCGGGGUAAAGGCCCACCAAGGCGACGAUCCGUAGCUGGUCUGAGAGGAUGAUCAGCCACACUGGAACUGAGACACGGUCCAGACUCCUACGGGAGGCAGCAGUGGGGAAUAUUGGACAAUGGGCGCAAGCCUGAUCCAGCCAUACCGCGUGGGUGAAGAAGGCCUUCGGGUUGUAAAGCCCUUUUGUUGGGAAAGAAAAGCAGCAGGUUAAUACCCCGCUGUUCUGACGGUACCCAAAGAAUAUGCACCGGCUAACUUCGUG
rnacentral:rRNA from 1 species